AACACGUAAACAACCUGCCUUCAGGAUGGGGACAACAGACGGAAACGACUGCUAAUACCGAAUAAGUUCCAAGAGCCGCAUGGCCCAUGGAAGAAAAGGGUAGGCCUCUACCUGUAAGCUAUCGCCUGAAGAGGGGUUUGCGUCUGAUUAGCUGGUUGGAGGGGGUAACGGCCCACCAAGGCGACGAUCAGUAGCCGGUCUGAGAGGAUGAACGGCCACACUGGAACUGAGACACGGUCCAGACUCCUACGGGAGGCAGCAUG
rnacentral:rRNA from 1 species